UCGAGAAUCUUCGGCAAUGGGCGCAAGCCUGACCGAGCGAUGCCGCGUGCGGGAUGAAGGCCUUCGGGUUGUAAACCGCUGUCAGAGGGGAUGAAAUACGGUGGGGGUACUCCCCCAUGUUUGACAGAUCCUCAGAGGAAGGACGGGCUAAGUUCGUGCCAGCAGCCGCGGUAAGACGAACCGUCCAAACGUUAUUCGGAUUUACUGGGCUUAAAGGGUGCGUAGGCGGCCCUGCAAGUUGGGUGUGAAAUACCUCGGCUCAACCGAGGAACAGCGCUCAAAACUGCCGGGCUGGAGGAAGAUAGAGGUGAGCGGAACUUAAGGUGGAGCGGUGAAAUGCGUUGAUAUCUUAAGGAACACCUGUGGCGAAAGCGGCUCACUGGAUCUUUUCUGACGCUGAGGCACGAAAGCUAGGGUAGCGAACGGGAUUAGAUACCCCCGUAGUCC
rnacentral:rRNA from 1 species